rnacentral:tRNA from 1 species
GCCGAAGUGGUGAAACUGGUAGACGCGCACGGUUCAGGGCCGUGUGGGCGUUAGCCCGUGUGGGUUCGACUCCCACCUUCGGCA